UACGUAGGUGGCAAGCGUUAUCCGGAUUUACUGGGUGUAAAGGGCGUGUAGGCGGGGAAGCAAGUCAGAUGUGAAAACCACGGGCUCAACCUGUGGCCUGCAUUUGAAACUGUUUUUCUUGAGUGCUGGAGAGGCAAUCGGAAUUCCGUGUGUAGCGGUGAAAUGCGUAGAUAUACGGAGGAACACCAGUGGCGAAGGCGGAUUGCAGGACAGUAACUGACGCUGAGGCGCGAAAGCGUGGGGAGCAAACAGG
rnacentral:rRNA from 1 species